UACGUAGGGGGCAAGCGUUGUUCGGAAUUACUGGGCGUAAAGGGCGCGUAGGCGGCGCGGCAAGUCAGGAGUGAAAGCCCUGGGCUCAACCCGGGAACUGCUUUUGAAACUGCCGAGCUAGAGUGCGGAAGGGGCAACUGGAAUUCCCAGUGUAGCGGUGAAAUGCGUAGAUAUUGGGAAGAACACCUGAGGCGAAGGCGGGUUGCUGGGCCGACACUGACGCUGAGGCGCGAAAGCCAGGGGAGCGAACGGG
rnacentral:rRNA from 1 species